GACGGAGGAUGCAGGCGUUAUCCGGAAUUAUUGGGCGUAAAGCGUCCGCAGGUGGCACCUCAAGUCUGCUGUCAAAGACCGGGGCUUAACCCCAGAAAGGCAGUGGAAACUGAAGUGCUAGAGUGCAGUAGGGGUAGAGGGAAUUCCCGGUGUAGCGGUGAAAUGCGUAGAGAUCGGGAAGAACAUCGGUGGCGAAAGCGCUCUGCUGGACUGCAACUGACACUCAGGGACGAAAGCUAGGGGAGCGAAUGGG
rnacentral:rRNA from 1 species